rnacentral:tRNA from 1 species
GAGGUCUUAGCUUAAUAAAAGUGACUGAUUUGCAUUCAGUAGAUGUAGGGUAUAAUCCUACAGUCCUUA